rnacentral:rRNA from 1 species
UACAGAGGUCUCAAGCGUUGUUCGGAUUCAUUGGGCGUAAAGGGUGCGUAGGCGGCGCGGUAAGUCGGGUGUGAAAUCUCGGAGCUUAACUCCGAAACUGCAUUCGAUACUGCGGUGCUUGAGGACUGGAGAAGAGACUGGAAUUCAUGGUGUAGCAGUGAAAUGCGUAGAGAUCAUGAGGAAGACCAGUGGCGAAGGCGGGUCUCUGGACAGUUCCUGACACUGAGGCACGAAGGCCAGGGGAGCAAACGGG